rfam:Coccidioides immitis RS mitochondrial scaffold supercont3.7, whole genome shotgun sequence.
AGAGAAUUGACUGAGUGGUUUAAAGUGGUAAGCUUGAGUCUUAUUAGGUCUCUUAGACCGCAUCCGUUCGAAUCGGAUAUUCUCUG